UAUCAAGUGUACCGGUUUGGUUACUAUGCUCGUUCCUCACGCAAACUCGAUUUUCGUUUUCUUCUUCUUGUAAUUAGGGUUUUCGAGAGAUCAGCGUUCGAAGAAAAAAAAUUGUAAUUUCCAUCAAUCCCGAAUCAAGAGCCCUCUUUUAUCAAUAGAUUCAUUCCCAAUUUCGUCCUCUUGCCUCGGCAGAUCCAGUCUCAAAAAAUUAUUAUUCAUCUUCGGUAUGGAGAGGAAAGUUGGACAAAAGUAUAAGUUGGGUCGCAAAAUUGGCAGCGGUUCCUUCGGUGAAAUAUUUAUUGCAACCCAUGUCGACACUAACGAGAUCGUCGCGAUCAAGAUUGAGAAUGGCAAAACAAAACAUCCACAACUUCUCUAUGAGGCCAAGGUGUAUAGAAUUCUUCAGGGUGGAAGUGGUAUCGCAAAUACUAAAUGGUCCGGCGUAGACGGUGAUGACAAUAUCCUUGUCCUUGAUGUUUUAGGACCAAGUCUUGAAGACCUCCUUGUGUACUGUGGGAGAAGCUUUUCACUUAAAACGAUCUUGAUGUUGGCUGAUCAAAUGAUCACUAGAAUAGAGUAUGUGCAUUCCAAAGGGUUCUUGCAUAGAGACAUCAAACCAGAUAACUUCCUAAUGGGUCUUGGCAGGAAAGCAAAUCAGGUUUACAUUAUAGAUUUUGGUCUUGCAAAAAGAUAUCGGGAUCCUGCCUCAAACAGACACAUUCCUUACAGAGAGAACAAAAACCUAACAGGAACUGCACGUUAUGCAAGUUGCAAUACUCAUUUGGGAAUUGAGCAAAGUCGCCGGGAUGAUUUGGAGUCUCUUGGUUAUGUUCUUCUGUACUUCUUAAGAGGAAGCCUUCCUUGGCAAGGUCUAAAAGCUGCCACAAAAAAGCAAAAGUAUGACAAGAUACGUGAGAAGAAGGUCUCAACACCCAUUGAGGUUCUAUGCAAGUCACAUCCUGUGGAGUUCGCAUCAUACUUCCAUUAUUGCCAUUCCUUAACUUUUGAUCAACGCCCUGAUUAUGGGUUCUUGAAGCGCCUGUUUCGCGAUUUAUUUACUCGGGAAGGAUUUGAAUUUGAUUAUGUAUUUGACUGGACAAUUAUGAAGUACCAGCAGUCACAACAAGCAAAAGCGCAGCCCCAAUUAUCUCCAGUUGGUGUAGGUAGCAGUCGAGCACAGCAGAUGGGAGUAAGUAAGCUUAAAGAACCUAGAAGCUCAAGUAACCUUGCAAACCCAGAUGUUCAUACGCAUUUCAGAUCUCCAACAGCAACCCAAAUCUCAGGUGCUGAAAAGUCAAUCGCUAAAAAUGUUGUGAGCAAUGUGCCAGUUGCUUCCACUUCAUUUGGUAGCAGAAGAAACCUUCCCAAUGCAGAAGGGCAAUCUGAAAAUGCAAAAAAGAGAGAAGUUUCUUCAAGCAGCUGGUUCCCAACAUUAAACAGAAUUUCUUCCGCAAAGUAAUAGUGCUUUUCCAACUACCAGGUGUGAAGUGGAGUGCUCAUCAGUUCGAUUGCUCAUUUCUCCAACAGAAGACAAGACGCCUACGGUGGAUGGUGCUGGGCCAAGUAAGGACUUAACUUGGAUGUUGCUUAGACAUGACCUGUCAACCCCGGAGGUUUUUUUUCGUGAGCAUAUGUAAAAACCUAAUUUCAUGUGUUCAUGAUGUGUAAACGUCUUCCCCCGAACAUUCUGUUGCCAGUAAUAUGAUAAAAAGAGUUUUUCUUUGCUGUUAAUGGGUUGUUUUGACCAUGUAUUUCAUUCAAUUCAGGAGUGAGUUGCUUUCUUCUGUUCUUAUUGCUGUAUCUUAUUUGGAUCAAACAAAGCCUUGGAUGUUCACCUGGAUCAGUUUGAACCCUAGGUACAUACACCCUGGUACUUCUCAGAAAACAGGAAAAGUAAACCUUGUGUUUCAGAUAUUGAUAUGAGAGAGAAGGGGGAAGGGUUUACAGGAUGAAUGGGAGACAUUCUAUGGAAUAUUGAGCCAAAUGAAGUGUAUCUCUCUAUCUUCUGUUAAAUUAUCUAUUUUCCAUUGUAGGGUUUGAUGCAAGUAAGUAGUAUUGGAGAUUGGAGCAAGGUUUUCUGGGAAAGGUUUAAUCUUUUUUCAGAAGGGAAGAAAAGAAUGCAGUGCAUAUAUAAUUUUCCCAAAAGAAAAAAAACAAAAUUGCAGGAGCUGACAUUUUGACUGGCACAGUAGAUAAGAAUCUCAUUGAUGUUUGGCAAGCUUUAACAGAAUGAGACUGACUGAGUAGUACUACUUGUACCACCUGUCUACUUUCUUUUGUA